CAGCCGCCGCGGUAAUACGGAGGAUGCGAGCGUUGUUCGGAAUCACUGGGCUUAAAGGGCGUGUAGGCGGGAUGUCAGGUGUCUUGUGAAAGCCCCCGGCUCAACCGGGGAAUUGCUUGGCAAACCGACAUUCUUGAGGCAGGUAGAGGCGACUGGAACCUUUGGUGGAGAGGUGAAAUUCGUAGAUAUCAAAGGGAACGCCGGUGGCGAAAGCGGGUCGCUGGGCCUGUCCUGACGCUGAGACGCGAAAGCGUAGGGAGCGAACGGGAUUAGAUACCCCGGUAGUCUACGCCGUAAACGAUGCGCACUAGGUACGAGGGUCUCUGACGGCUUUCGUGCCGCAGCAAAAGUGUUAAGUGCGCCGCCUGGGGAGUACGGCCGCAAGGCUAAAACUCAAAGGAAUUGACGGGGGCUCACACAAGCGGUGGAGCAUGUGGAUUAAUUCGAAGCAACGCGCAGAACCUUACCUGGGUUUGACAUGCACGGAUGCCCUCUACGAAAGUGGAGUAAGCUGCCUUCGGGUGAAACGUGCACAGGUGCUGCAUGGCUGUCGUCAGCUCGUGCUGUGAAGUGUCGGGUUAAGUCCCUUAACGAGCGAAACCCCUGUCGCUAGUUGCCAGCGGGUCAUGCCGGGAACUUUAGCGAGACUGCCGGCGUUAAGCCGGAGGAAGGUGGGGACGACGUCAAGUCCUCAUGGCCCUUAUGCCCAGGGUGUCACACGUGCUACAAUGGCGUGUACAGAGCGAUGCGAAACCGCGAGGUGGAGCAAAUCGCAAAAAGCACGCCCCAGUUCGGAUUGGAGUCUGCAACUCGACUCCAUGAAGUUGGAAUCGCUAGUAAUCGCGUAUCAGCACGACGCGGUGAAUGAGUUCCUGAGCCUCGUACACACCGCCCGUCAAGUCAUGAAAGCUGGGAGCACCCGAAGUCGCUUAGCUAACCCGUUAAGGGAGGCGGGGGCCGAAGGUGAGAUCGGUGACUGGGACUAAGUCGUAACAAGGUAACCGUA
rnacentral:rRNA from 1 species